AUGUUCGUGUCUUGUUCUUGUUUUUCGGUAUUUUAGGGCUUUUGCGAAUGGAGUGGAGACGUGUGGAGCGUUGGAGGGCUGAUUGGAGGCCGGGCGGCAAAAGAUCUCUGCUGCUCGCACGAUUGUUCAUAUAGAUCUUUUCUCUAGCGGUCAGGCGAUCAGGAAUGGCCAGAUCAUGAGAGAGCUAGCAUUCCACUCGCGAUCCAUCGGCCGAUCAGUCGAUGCUAUACAUCGUCGAGCGCUGUGUUUUUGAUGCACUCAGCUUGACACGGCCGUGCUUGGAAGUCUGGAAAGUUUUCUUUCACGCUCCACUGAUGCUGCUGCUGCAAUGCGUGCUGACUCUCUCUCUCUCUCUUGGUCGUGUCAAGCUGUGUGCAUCACAACGCAUUGCUCGUUUUCAAGAUUUCCUCCUUUCUUCUCCAAAUCUCUAGGCCUAGACGCUCUCCCGCAAGAACAAGCAUCGGUUUCUUCUACAAGUGACGCUCUCGCUCUCUCUCUCUCUUUCUCUCUCGUAGCAACUUUCUCUUCUCUAAGCGUCUCUGGCUCACAGCAUCUCGAUCUUUCUGUGCUUUUCCUUGUACACACCUUGACAGGGAUCAUCGAGUUUGAGAACCAUCUAGCAGUGAAAGGUCAAACACAUACCAUCUCUUAACUUCUCCAGGGAGAGAUCAUCCUCCCAAGAGAGAGGUAGCGAGGUAUAGAUAUUUUUUUUCCUUCUUUCUUUUGUCGACAUGGGGAUGGGGAUGUGGAUCCACUUCCAUCUCUUUUUUCUAUUUUUUCUAUCGUUCGCUCUCGACAGCUUGUGACUCAUCCAGCCUCUCGUGGAACACGUAUGCCAACGAUUCAAUUCCCUUCCCCUUUGCGCUUAAACAACAGUUAGUGGCUGUGUGGUCUCCACACACUACACAAAUCUCAACUUUCACGCGGCGCCGGAGAUUGUUUAAAGCGAAAAAUCAAAGCUUUCUUUCUUUGACAAUGACGAGGACAAAGCUCGCCUCCUUCGACUCACUGUACAAGUUUAUCAAAACUUCGCCAAGUUCGCAAGUUUAGAAGAUAAAAAGAAUAUGUUUUUUUUUGUUUUUUUUUUUUUUUUUUGUGUUGAAAUCGAAACUUAGCUCGAUGUUUGCUGCUGUA